GCUGUCUUGGGGUAUAAAGUUUCAGCAAUGGAAGCAUUGACACAAAUUGCAUGUGUAUCCGGUGCUGGAAUGGAUACCCAUCACCACUCCCGUUGGAAUGAAAAUAGAGUUCAUUUAAAGUUAGAAUACAGUUUUUGGUAGAUUUAAGAUUUCUUAUGUCCUUUGGGCUUUGUGUUCAGUAUGCUCUCAAAAUUGAAGAAGGAUGUUGCACUGUAUGCAUUAGUGGGUUCACCGCAUUGGAUGUGCCUCGCCCACAAGGUCCCCUCUGGAUAAAAGAACAUCCUACUCGUCUCAAUCUCCAAAUAUAAU